rnacentral:rRNA from 1 species
AGAAUCAACGCUGGCGGCGUGCCUAACACAUGCAAGUCGAACGAGAAAGUGGAGCAAUCCACGAGUAAAGUGGCGCACGGGUGAGUAACACGUGACUACCUACCCUUGAGUGGGGGAUAACCUAGGGAAACCUGGGCUAAUACCGCAUAACACCUACGGGUCAAAGGAGCAAUUCGCUUAAGGAGGGGGUCGCGGCCGAUUAGUUAGUUGGCGGGGUAAUGGCCCACCAAGACGAUGAUCGGUAUCCGGCCUGAGAGGGCGCACGGACACACUGGAACUGAAACACGGUCCAGACUCCUACGGGAGGCAGCAGUGGGGAAUUUUGCGCAAUGGGGGAAACCCUGACGCAGCAACGCCGCGUGGAGGAUGAAGUCCCUUGGGACGUAAACUCCUUUCGAUCGGGACGAUUAUGACGGUACCGGAAGAAGAAGCCCGGCUAACUUCGCGCCGGCAGCCGC